rnacentral:rRNA from 1 species
UCCUCCCUCUUUCUUCGUGCUUAACACAUGCAAGUCGAACGGAAAGGCCCCUUUGGGGGUACUCGAGUGGCGAACGGGUGAGUAACACGUGAGUAACCUGCCCUUGACUUCGGGAUAACUUCAGGAAACCGGGGCUAAUACCGGAUAGGAAUCCUUGCUGCAUGGUGGGGGUUGGAAAGCUUCGGCGGUUUUGGAUGGACUCGCGGCUUAUCAGCUUGUUGGUGGGGUAGUGGCUUACCAAGGCUUUGACGGGUAGCCGGCCUGAGAGGGCGACCGGCCACAUUGGGACUGAGAUACGGCCCAGACUCCUACGGGAGGCAGCAGUGGGGAAUAUUGCACAAUGGGCGGAAGCCUGAUGCAGCAACGCCGCGUGCGGGAUGACGGCCUUCGGGUUGUAAACCGCUUUCAGCAGGGGCGAAGCUUGUGGUGACGGUACCUGCAGAAGAAGCACCGGCUAACUACGUG